CAGCAGCCACGGUAAUACAGAGGGUGCAAGCGUUAAUCGGAAUUACUGGGCGUAAAGCGCGCGUAGGUGGUUUGUUAAGUUGGAUGUGAAAGCCCCGGGCUCAACCUGGGAACUGCAUCCAAAACUGGCAAGCUAGAGUACGGUAGAGGGUGGUGUAAUUUCCUGUGUAGCGGUGAAAUGCGUAGAUAUAGGAAGGAACACCAGUGGCGAAGGCGACCACCUGGACUGAUACUGACACUGAGGUGCGAAAGCGUGGGGAGCAAACAGGAUUAGAUACCCCCGUAGUCCCUGUCUCUUAUAC
rnacentral:rRNA from 1 species